UGAAGGGCAAAGAAACUCAGGAUCUCAGCUAGUGGAGCAGUUCUAACUGGAGAGACUGAGGAAGACUCACAUCAGAAUAUCCUAUAGUUUAGUAGUUAGAUCACUGCUCCUGAGAGGUGUUCAAAUUCUUCCUCUCCCUCCCAUCCGCUUUCUCUUCUCCCCUGGGGCAGAGAGGGGACAAUUGAACCUGGGUACCCCACAUCCCAGGUAAAAGCCAUACAGAG